rnacentral:lncRNA from 1 species
GUCAGACAAGCAGACUGGAAGUAGCCUGCGUUAACGUAUUCAAGAUGAAUUAUUACACCCGUCUCACCUGGAAUUACAGAAGCAAACUUCUCCAAGUAUGGUCAGCAGAGGGUACUAUAAACGCGUGCCGUCACACAAUGUCGCACUACACUACAAUAUAUGGGAUAAUUAACCCUCAAAGUGAAACAUGGGAUACCCCACCUCUGUUUUGGUAAAAACAGGAGAAAUGUAACCCCUCUCAAAUUCAGACAGGGCUGUGGAUGCAAGGACUCAAUGAUAUCAAAAUCAUCGUUUUAACCAUGUUUUGAGGCUAUAUAGUGUUUGUUUACAUUUCACAUUGUUUAAAAACAUUGGUGUAAAACACCCUUAUAUUUUCGGUUCUGAUGGGGUAUGACAGUUGAAAUAAGUUCAUGAGGAAUAUUUACAAGUUAUAUUCUUCAAGAAUCAAUGGGCAUAUAUCAUGAAUGUAUCAGUAGAUGUAGCAACUGAGGAUUCUAGCUUUUAAGCUAAAUGUCUAUCUCCCACUUAUCAUAAAAUGUGAAUUUGGAAGAAAACAUAACUAUGAAUAUACAAUUCAGUGUACUGUAUUAAGCUUUUAUAAAAAGAAACAUCACUAUAAAAAGUUUCACAUUUUUAACAUUAUUUGCCCAUGUAAGCGGCAUAAUGUACAGCAUAAUGACAAACACUCUUUACAAACAAAGAAAAAUUCUAAAUGAAAGUAGAAAUUGUUUUGACUUCCGUUUGAGAAAAUCAAAACUGUUCAGUCCUUUUUCAAAUAAUGUAAAUGGCUGCGUCAGAUCAGGGUACUUGUACAGGCAAGCAAGAUUAUGUGGAAAGUUGGAACACUGACAACCUCUCAGCAUUCUGCUCUUGUCGAUAACUUGUCCAGUUUCAUACUUUAUGGGAGUCAAUACCUCGUGAGUACUGGUUUAAACAAUACAAAAUAAAAGGCUGAUUGAACUGAUUAAACACCAUGAUUAAAUCAGUUUGGCAGGAAUGUCUUCAGGCACUCUUCACAGUCCCUUCACUGAGGGGAAGACUGUACUGAGGGGACUACAUUCAAUCAACGUGGAUUGAUAGAUCCCGUAUACUGCUAAUAAAAAUAAAGUUUAGUUAGCCCCAAUAAUAUCCAGAUCCCACCAACAUUACACCCUCUAAUGCAAUGCCAGUUUCAUACUUUUUGGGCUACCUUGACCAUCUGUGUCACAGUCAGGGACUUUCCAGUCUAGCUUGCGGCCUUUCUCAUAGAGUCCCUUCAGAACUUUGCGGACUUCGUAGUUCCCUCCUCCACGACUCAGUUUCAGGUACUUCCUGUACAGAGCAAGGGCAGUCCGUGCGUCCUCAAUACUGUCAUGGGUCUCACCUUGAAUGUUAAGGUCUGGAGAAACAAGUAGAAGUUUUGCCAUUUCACACAAUUUGGUUGUUACGUGGAUGAAUUUGGAAAAUGGCAGACUAAGUAGUAAUUUCUAUAUGACCAAAACAGUGGUUGAGGAGUAUAAGCUCUUACCCAGAAAGUACCAGGCAAGGAAGCGCAGAGAGAUGAUCCUCUUAAUGGGCAUAUGGAACAGGUAGACUGUCAACUACCUGAUCCUUCAGCACCUGAGCAAGGUACAUCAAAACAGAGAUGAGCUCCCACACUCCCUCCAUUGAAAUUACCCUGUCUACUGUUAACAUAGCUAACCAAUAGGGCUGGUUUCCUGGACACAAAUAAAGACUAGUCCUAGACUAAACAUUUUUCAAAGGAGAUUCCCCAUUGAGCAUGCUUUUAGUCCAGGACUAGGCUUGAUCUGUCUCCCGGAAACCGGCCCAUAAUCUUUACUAAAACUGCAUCCAGGGGUAUAGAAACACAGGUAAAAUUCAUUCCAUUUAAAAAUCAGGUAAAUUAAGUAUACAAACUUACCAGCAAAUGUAUAACCCGGAAGUCCUUCUGUAAACCAUGGCCAACAAAGUGCACUCCGGUGUCAAUGAGGAAGCGCAGCUUCAGGUAUGUUGACUUCAGAGUGGUCAAGUGCUUGGAGGAAAUCUUAGCAUCCAGGUCACCUGGUUUGAUGCCUGAGUACUGGGUCAGAUAGUCCACCACCUGCACCAGCAAAACCGUGAGGAAGAAUAAACUUUAAGAACUAAGAUUAGUUGAAUCUAGGUCGCUUUGUUAGGAAGCUGUCACAUCAGAUUUUACUGCAUAGCAAUAAUUAUCUGGACAUCCAUCCAUCCUGUUAAUGUAGUCAUUAUUAUUGCCAGGGCGAGAGGGGCUGCAUUACCUGCUCCUGAGUAGAGAUGUAGUCAUCGAUGAACGGUACUCCCUCGUUGGGACCCUGACCACGCACGCAGGUGAUCCGUGCCACAGACAUCUGACUGGGCUUAAUGGUGGACUUGGUGCCGUCGCUGUGUAGCUCUGCAUCCUCCUAUAUAAAGACAGUAUCCGGUCCAUAAGGGGGAAUUUAAACAGCAGAUCUCCAAGCAGAGCUCCCUAAUGUAUCACUGUUAAUUAUUAUCCUCAUUGCCAUGUUGCUAGGGUGAAGCUGCCUGUAACAGAAGUUGUCAUGGAGAGAAGACCAAGGCGCAGCAGGACCUAAGCCCUAGGACCAUGCCUCAGGACUACCUGGCCUGAUGACUCCUUGCUGUCCCCAGUCCACCUGACCGUGCUGCUGCUCCAGUUUCAACUGUUCUGCCUGCGGCUAUGGAACCCUGACCUGUUCACCGGACGUGCUACCUGUCCCAGACCUGCUAUUUUCAACUCUCUAGAGACAACAGGAGCGGUAGAGAUACUCUGAAUGAUCGGCUAUGAUAAGCCAACUGACAUUUACUACUAAGGUGCUGACCUGUUGCACCCUCGACAACCACUGUGAUUAUUAUUAUUUGACCCUGCUAGUCAUCUAUGAACAUUUGAACAUCUUGGCCAUGUUCUGUUAUAAUCUCCACCUGGCACAGCCAGAAGAGGACUGGCCACCCCUCAUAGCCUGGUUCCUCUCUAGGUUUCUUCCUAGGUUCUGGCCUUUCUAGGGAGUUUUUCCUAGCCACCGUGCUUCUACACCUGCAUUGCUUGCUGUUUGGGGUUUUAGGCUGGGUUUCUGUACAGCACUUUGACAUCAGCUGAAGUAAGAAGGGCUUUAUAAAUACAUUUGAUUGAUUGAUUAUUCUCUGCAGAUUCUCACAAGCUCUGUCAGGUUGGAUGGGGAGUGUCGCUGCACAGCUAUUUUCACGUCUUUCCAGAGAUGUUCGAUCGGGUUCAAGUCCGGGCUCUGGCUGGGCCACCCAUAGACUUGUACCGAAGCCAUUCCUGCGUUGUCUUGGCUAUGUACUUAGGGUUGUUGUCCUGUUGGAAGGUGAACCUUCGCCCCAGUCUGAGGUCCUGAGCGCUCUGGAGCAGGUUUUCAUCAAGCAUCUCUCUGUACUUUGCUCCGUUCAUCUUUCCCUCGAUCCUGACUAGUGUCCCAGUCACUGCCUCUGAAAAACAUCCCCACUGCAUGAAGCUGCCAACACCAUGCUUCACCGUAGAGAUGGUGCCAGAUUUCCUCCAGAUGUGACACUUGGUAUUCAGGCCAAAGAGUUCAAUCUUGGCUUCAUCAGACCAGAGAAUGAUGUUUCUCAUGGUCUGAAAGUCUUUAGAUGCCUUUUGGCAAACUUCAAGCGGGCUGUCAUGUGCCUUUUAAUGAGGAGUGGCUUCUGUCUGGCCACAUAGGCAUACCAUAUAGGCCUGAUUGGUAGAGUGCUGCAUAGAUGGUUGUCCUUCUGGAAGGUUCUCUCAUCUUCACAGAGGAACUCUGCAGCUCUGUCAGAGUGACCAUCAGGUUCUUGGUCAACUCCCUGACCGAUGCCAUUCUCCCCCGAUUGCCCAGUUUGGCCGGACGGCCAGCUCUAGGAAGAGUCUUGGUGGUUCCAAACUUCUUCCAUUUAAGAAUGAUGGAGGCCACUGUGUUCUUGGGGACCUUCAAUGCUGCAGAAAUCUUUUGAUACCCUUCACCAGAUCUGUGCUUUGACACAAUCCUGUCUCGGUGCUCUACGGGCA